UUACCCUAACCGCUCUUUCCUUCCAUCCGGUUUCACAGAUAACGGAGAUGGGCGAAAGCUGGCUGUCUUGUGAGGAGGGCAGGCCAUGCACCAACCCCUCGGCUGGCCCAGCCCAGUGGCUCUGGGAACCACAAGCUCAGCAAGAGUUCCAGUAAAGGGCCAUCACUCAGCACCGCCGCAGGCCUUGGCCCUUGUCACAGAACAAUGGCUACUGCUGCUACCUUCCUGCCUCCCUUCCUGGGCCGAAGAUGGCCCACUUUCUCCACGUUUUCAAUCUGGUCGAAAGAUGCCUGUGUGUGGCAAUUAGAGAUCCCAUGAACCCUGACGAAAAUCAUCCUCCCAGGGUACAAAGAAGCCACCUGAACGACCGAUGAUCUGAGGAUCCUGAGGAAGC
rnacentral:lncRNA from 1 species